rnacentral:rRNA from 1 species
UACGUAGGCAGCAAGCGUUGUUCGGAGUUACUGGGCGUAAAGGGUGCGUAGGCGGUUGUUUAAGUUUGGUGUGAAAUCUCCCGGCUCAACUGGGAGGUGCGCCGAAUACUGAAUGACUAGAGUGCGGGAGAGGAGAGUGGAAUUCCUGGUGUAGCGGUGGAAUGCGUAGAGAUCCGGAAGAACACCGGUGGCGAAGGCGGCCUGCUGGGCAGUUGCUGACACUGGAGGCGCGACGAGCGUGGGGAGCAAACAGG